CCACGGAGCAGGAGAGAAAGAGCCCCGUCUUCAACCAAGGAGUGUGGUACGAGAAAAAAAGACGCAGUUCGCGGACACUGUCCAGCUCAAAGAGAUUGUUUCUGGAUCCGUACUCGUCCUCCGAAGACAGCGACAAUGACGACAACUUCCCAAACACACAGACUCAGUGACACACACACAGACACACACACACAGACUCGGUGACACACACAGACACACACACAGACACACACACAGACACACACACAGACACACACACAGACACACACACAGACACACACAGACACACACAGACUCAGUGACACACACACAGACACACACAGACUCAGUGACACACACACAGACACACACAGACACACACACAGACACACACAGACUCAGUGACACACACACAGACACACACACGUACACACACACAGACUCAGUGACACACACACAGACUCAGUGACACACACACAGACACACACACAGACACACAGACACACACAGACUCAGUGACACACACACAGACUCAGUGACAACAAAGAUCCCCCAUAUAGCCUUAACAGACUGUAGGGGCAAGUGCUGUUAGCGAGCACCUAUGAAGGCCAGCACGGCACACGAGGGGGUGGGUGGCCAGCACCACGCCCGACCGCCUUUGUCUCCCUAGUGGUGAUGUUUACACACCGCACCAGGUACUCAUUUGAGGCUGAGUCGACCUAGGGGAGGCCCAGGACCGGUUCAGAUAAUCGUCACUGGUGUUGGCCGUGAGCGGGAAUCGAACUCGGGUCACCGGGUUCAUAGCGCAGCGCGCUAACCGCUACACUAUCGCUCCGUGUCGCUGUGUGUGUCGCUGUGUGUGUCUGUGUGUGUCUGUGUGUGUGUCACUCAGUGACACA